rnacentral:lncRNA from 1 species
UUUUCCCUCCUUCUUUCCUUCUUUGAUUCUUUGGUCCUUCCUUCCCUUCCUUCCUUCUUCUUUCUCCCCCUAAGUCUUCUUAUUUGGAAAUGAUACAAAUUGAGAGCUUUCUAGGAAGGUUCCUUUAAGAUUCUUCAAGAACCAAAGAAACCUGGUUUGAUUUUGUUUUAAAGGACAAGAGACUUCCUCCAGACUGUCUUCAUUUUCUUAGGGCAUUUUCUCUCCCAUUCCCAACCCCUGAAGUUAUUGUAACUCUUUACUUUAAAAUGAGCAAGGUUCUGUGUUCCCAACACCAGAUGUUCCCAGUUCCUGAGCAAACCAACAAAAAUAGGCGUUUUCUGAGGAUGCGAUAAAGAGGGCAGCAACCUGCUUACUUCAGAGAAAACCUUCCCUUCCGUCACUGCUAAUGCUGAAAUUAUUUCUCUGCCAGAUGUUUCUUACAUUUCUAAACUGUUUUUAAUUUUAAGAUAUAGUUUUAAAUUCUGAUUUAAUCUUCACAGAUGUGAGAACUUAAAACUUCUCAGCAAGGAUAAAUCAGUAUCUAUAGUAGUUCAAGAAGCAGUCAGUUAGGAAUCCAUUGAUUCAUUUAUUCAACAAAUAUUUAAUCAAUGCCAGCUGUGUACCAAGCACCAUUUUAGGAUUCAGAGGCAAAUUAGCCUGAUAAGGGCCUGUCUAUCUUCUCGGUGCUUUCAUGCAAGAAAGGGAAACAGAGAUUAAACAAGCAAAUGAGAAGCAUCAGACACAAAGUCCACAAUGAGAAUAACACUGAUGUGAUAGUAACGGGGGACUGUUUCAGGUUAGGUGGUUAAAAGAGGCCUCUCCAAGGAAGUGCUGGUUAAGUAAAGAGCAGGGCGAGGAGCCAGACGUGAAAGAUCAGAAGCCCAUUACGGUCCGAGUGAAGAGAGCCAGACUGUCUGAAAUCCUUUGCUUCCCAUGAACAGUUGGUACUGGACCAGUGAGCCCCGUCUCUCCCCAGAGGCAGCUGUUCUGUAUGCGGGGCUGGAAGGCUCUGAAGAAGUUUAUGAGGAAGCACAAAGAGGAUCGGGUUGGAGUCUGAAGAUCUGGGUUCUUGUUUUAACCAUUCCCCUAAUGGAAAGUUUGUGAUUUCAGACAGCACACUUAAUCUCCUGCUUCAUUUAUUCAUUGGUAAGUGAUAGAUAAUUGUUGAGGACCCCUCCGUCUCUUUCUGCAUUGUAUGCUUAUCUAUGAAGUUUCGUCUCUUCAAUUACAUUUAAAAACACGGUAGAACAAGGUGACAACUGCUCAAACUGGUAACAUGUCUUCAUCAAGUCCAGCAGUGUCGCGUAGAUGUGGACCAGAGGAGACGGCUGAGUGAAAAGAUGACAGUUCUCAAAGUGAAAACUGUUGGACCAGUGAAUAAACCCUGGCUCUCACAGACGUGGAGUGUUCCA